AUUGAACGCUGGCGGCAGGCUUAACACAUGCAAGUCGAGCGGGGGAAGGUAGCUUGCUACCGGACCUAGCGGCGGACGGGUGAGUAAUGCUUAGGAAUCUGCCUAUUAGUGGGGGACAACAUCUCGAAAGGGAUGCUAAUACCGCAUACGUCCUACGGGAGAAAGCAGGGGAUCUUCGGACCUUGCGCUAAUAGAUGAGCCUAAGUCGGAUUAGCUAGUUGGUGGGGUAAAGGCCUACCAAGGCGACGAUCUGUAGCGGGUCUGAGAGGAUGAUCCGCCACACUGGGCCUGAGACACGGCCCAGACUCCUACGGGAGGCAGCAGUGGGGAGUAUUGGACAAUGGGGGGAACCCUGGUCCAGCCAUGCCGCGUGUGUGAAGAAGGCCUUAUGGUUGUAAAGCACUUUAAGCGAGGAGGAGGCUACUUUAGUUAAUACCUAGAGAUAGUGGACGUUACUCGCAGAAUAAGCACCGGCUAACUCUGUGCCAGCAGCCGCAGUAA
rnacentral:rRNA from 1 species